ensembl:ncRNA C01F1.7 ncRNA
UUUUGCCAGCUUUUGAUGAUUUUCAGAGUUUAGAGGUGGACAAACAUUCUGAAAGCUUUUUGGAAUUUUUAAGAAAUUUCCAAAAAGUAUUCAGAACGUUUACCUACCUCUAAACAGCCAAAAAAU